rfam:Myotis brandtii contig240299, whole genome shotgun sequence.
GGCGAUUCUCGGGUGACACACCCCGGAAUCGGGCUCCCUCCUCUCUGGUUCCAGGGUCACCACAGUUCAGCA